rnacentral:rRNA from 1 species
GACGAACGCUGGCGGCGUGCUUAACACAUGCAAGUCGAACGGAAAGGCCCUGCUUGCAGGGUGCUCGAGUGGCGAACGGGUGAGUAACACGUGGGUGAUCUGCCCCUUACUUUGGGAUAAGCCUGGGAAACUGGGUCUAAUACUGGAUAGGACCAUGCUGUAGGUGGUGUGGUGGAAAGAUUAGUUUCGGUAAGGGAUGAGCUCGCGGCCUAUCAGCUUGUUGGUGGGGUAAUGGCCUACCAAGGCGUCGACGGGUAGCCGGCCCGAGAGGGUGGACGGCCACAUUGGGACUGAGAUACGGCCCAGACUCCUACGGGAGGCAGCAGUGGGGAAUAUUGCACAAUGGGCGCAAGCCUGAUGCAGCGACGCCGCGGGGGGGAUGACGGCCUUCGGGUUGUAAACUCCUUUCAGCCAUGACGAAGCCCUUGUGGUGACGGUAGUGGUAGAAGAAGCACCGGCUAACUACGUG